rnacentral:misc_RNA from 1 species
UCAAACUUGGUCAUUUAGAGGAAGUAAAAGUCGUAACAAGGUUUCCGUAGGUGAACCUGCGGAAGGAUCAUUACCAAUGAGAAGUGACAGCCGCCAUCGUGCCCUGUCCCUUACACCCUAUGUGUACCUCACUGCUGUUGCUUCGGCGGGCCUGGCCCUUUGCGGCCGGCCGGCCCCCUUUAGGGGGUUGGCCAGCGCCCGCCGGAGGACCAACCAAAUGCUGUUUUGUGAUGCUGUCUGAGCUUUACAAGCGAAUAUAAUAAAACUUUCAACAACGGAUCUCUUGGUUCUGGCAUCGAUGAAGAACGCAGC